UGCCCUUAGUAACGGCGAAGUGAAGCGGCAACAGCUCAAAUUUGAAAUCUGGCUUCGGCCCGAGUUGUAAUUUGCAGAGGAAGCUUUAGGCGCGGCACCUUCUGAGUCCCCUGGAACGGGGCGCCAUAGAGGGUGAGAGCCCCGUAUAGUUGGAUGCCUAGCCUGUGUAAAGCUCCUUCGACGAGUCGAGUAGUUUGGGAAUGCUGCUCAAAAUGGGAGGUAAAUUUCUUCUAAAGCUAAAUACCGGCCAGAGACCGAUAGCGCACAAGUAGAGUGAUCGAAAGAUGAAAAGCACUUUGAAAAGAGGGUUAAAUAGCACGUGAAAUUGUUGAAAGGGAAGCGCUUGUGACCAGACUUGCGCCGGGCUGAUCAUCCGGUGUUCUCACCGGUGCACUCUGCCCGGCUCAGGCCAGCAUCGGUUCUCGCGGGGGGAUAAAGGUCCCGGGAAUGUAGCUCCUCCGGGAGUGUUAUAGCCCGGGGCGUAAUGCCCUCGCGGGGACCGAGGUUCGCGCUCUGCAAGGAUGCUGGCGUAAUGGUCAUCAGCGACCCGUCUUGAAACACGGACCAAGGAGUCAAGGUUUUGCGCGAGUGUUUGGGUGUAAAACCCGCACGCGUAAUGAAAGUGAACGUAGGUGAGAGCUUCGGCGCAUCAUCGACCGAUCCUGAUGUUUUCGGAUGGAUUUGAGUAAGAGCGUUAAGCCUUGGACCCGAAAGAUGGUGAACUAUGCUUGGAUAGGGUGAAGCCAGAGGAAACUCUGGUGGAGGCUCGCAGCGGUUCUGACGUGCAAAUCGAUCGUCAAAUCUGAGCAUGGGGCGAAAGACUAAUCGAACCAUCU
rnacentral:rRNA from 1 species